CCCUUAUCUAUAGUUAACAGUCUCUUAUAUGUCUUUGGAAACAGUCUCUUUUCUGCAACUAUUCUAAUAGAUCCAGGACAUAUCUAUAUUUAGAGUUAUGCGACGGAUGAUUGAAUUUAUCUAUACAGUCACCGUGCAUAGACCUUUACUGAAACCUAGCUAUAUCUGAAGGCCUGGUAUCAAUGGAGCCGAGGCAAAAUACUUUAAGGUUUUUACGUCGGUCGUUCGCUUUCCAUUGUUGUUUCUUCUAUUCCCGCGGUGACGAUCACCUGACCAUCGUAAAAUCGGCACGUACGAAACAGAAGACGUCAACUAUUCCCAAUUUCGUCACUGUUAUUUUAGAACUUGCUGUUUCUAUCUUUCCCAGCGGCACAGUCUCAUGCAUCCAACAUAGUCUACAUCACUCCAAACCAUAGACAAGAGACUAUUUUUUAUAAAAAUCUUGUAAAGAUAGUUCAUAGAAUCCAGUAAGAAAAGUUGUUAUAUCGUCAGUAAUACUUGUUAUGUAUAAGAAGUUACAAUUAACUAACUUUUCGAAAUUUUUUUUUAAAGUCUGAUACUAAAAUUCAUAAUUUUGAAAAUUAUGAUAAAAUUUCUUCAGUUGUUUUAAAAUUAGAUCUAAUACAUUUUCUUAACCUAUUCAUCUAAUUACGAG
rnacentral:lncRNA from 1 species